rnacentral:tRNA from 2 species
GGAGGGUUGAUCGGCAAGAUCACGCAGACUCUAAAUCUGCGCAGCCGGGUUUGACUCCCGGACUCUCCUCCA